ensembl:lncRNA
AUAAGGCAUACACCCCGCCCUUUUUCUUACCAGAGAGAUGUUUGUUUCUGUCGGUGCGAUGCGUGAAGAAACCGGGUGGCUGUACCGACUCUGAUAACAUAUCCUGAGUGAGCCAUGUUUCCGUGAAAUAAAGAAUGUUACAAUCUCUGUCUCUCUGGAAGGCAACCCUUGCUCGUGUUGUCAAGACACUGGACAUUGGCGAGUAGUAUACUCAGGAGCAGUGAGCGAUGUGCACGUCUACAGAGCCUGACUAGGAGGCCGCUCCGUCUGUCCCUUCUGCAGCGCCGUUGUUUUGGUUCGGCUACUAAAUCCAUUGUCCUGGGUGGUGGUCCAAACAAAGAAUCCACUUCGGGAAAGUCGUAUUCCUGGUCGUAAUGUUGGACCUGAGCUCUAGGACCAUGCCCCAGGACUACCUGACAUGAUGACUCCUUGCUGUCCCCAGUCCACCUGACCGUGCUGCUGCUCCAGUUUCAACUGUUCUACCUUAUUAUUAUACGACCAUGCUGGUCAUUUAUGAACAUUUGAACAUCUUGGCCAUGUUCUGUUAUAAUCUCCACCCGGCACAGCCAGAAGAGGACUGGCCA